UACGUGGGGGGUAAGCGUUGUUCGGAAUUACUGGGCGUAAAGGGCGCGUAGGCGGCCAACUAAGUCAGACGUGAAAUCCCUCAGCUUAACUGGGGAACUGCGUCUGAUACUGGAUGGCUUGGAUUCGGGAGAGGAAUGCGGAAUUCCAGGUGUAGCGGUGAAAUGCGUAGAUAUCUGGAGGAACACCGGUGGCGAAGGCGGCAUUCUGGACCGAUAUUGACGCUGAGGAGCGAAAGCCAGGGGAGCAAACGGG
rnacentral:rRNA from 1 species